UCCCUGGUGGUCCAAUAGUUAAGACUCUGAACUUCCACUGCAGGGGGCACAGGGUUCUAUUCCCUGUCAGGGAA
rnacentral:tRNA from 1 species